rnacentral:lncRNA from 1 species
GAUGGAAACAGUAUGGCAUUUAAUCAAGCCUUUUCACAACAAAAUUACUGAUUUAUGGUUUCUUUACAGAAACAAUCUUCUACCUCACAGAACAGCAAUACCCAAGUCCACGGUCAGUCCACUUUCUCACCAGGCAGCCAAGAUGGAUCGGCUUCCUCCGGUGUCAGUACGGGUUGUGGAGAGGUAAGUCCCUUUCCUCCUCUAUAUGUGAAGAUUUGUCUCAAUUUGCUACUUAGUAUUAAAACAUUUUUUAUAAAUUGGAUUGUGCCCAUUAACUGAAGUAGGAGCUUUUUGUUUCCAUUGUUGUGCCUGAAAUUAUACAGUGCAGAGAACCAGAGAGACUGACCUUGGCUACUGUACUGAACAGGAAUGGCCUCAGUUAGACACUAGUAUAUAAAUAAUAGAUACAGUUAAUGACCCAUCCAUUUUGAGAAUAAUCAUUAACCAU